GGGCACGUAGCUCAGCCAGGAUAGAGCGUCGGACUUCUAAUCCGACGGUCACGGGUUCGAAUCCCGUCGUGCCCG
rnacentral:tRNA from 1 species